rnacentral:lncRNA from 1 species
UUGCAGCUUGCUUGGAAUGGUAAUUUAGAAAUUUCGGGGUUUUUUUUUUUUACUGGAAAUGACUUAUAGCCGACGAAAAAAGCUUUAAUUCGUCGGCUAAAGUUUUUUAUUUUUUUUUAAAAUAACUUUUAGCCGACGAAAUAUGCUCUAAUUCGUCGGCUAAAUACCUAUAAAGCCGACGAAAUACACUAUAUUUCGUCGGCCAUAGAUCUUUUUUUAUUUUUUUAUUACAAACUUUAGCCGACGAAUAUUUUAAAAUAUUCGUCGGCUAAAUUUUGGCAGAUAACCGACGACAAAAAAGUCGUCGGCUAAAGUCACCACAGACGAGCUUUUCCCGACGAAAUCUUAGCCGACGAAAGGUCGUCGGCUAAGAUCUUAGCCGACGAAUUAAGCUGACAGGCCGACGAAAAUUUUUCGUCGGCUAAAGUGCUUGUCCUGGUAGUGUAGAACAAAAGAUCCCGCGAGGACAUCGAAUCCCGCGAGGUAUCAGAAUCUUUGCAAAACUCCAACUCGCGUGUUGCCAGACUUCGCCACCCUUCAUGGGCUUCGCAUUAAAAAAGGGCCACAGGCACUGGCCCAAAUGUUAUCCAAAACCUACCCUGAGUCUUGGACCGAAAAUACCCACUGGGCUCAAACAAGAAGAAUGAAAAACUAUAAAGCAAAAGAAAACUAUAAACACCUGAAAUGGUUUGAUACAUGAACAAAAUGUCGACACUUUGCUUUCCUUGUUACAAUUGGAAGGUAUUAUCCAGAGAACGACAUUUCCCUUCUUUCUUUUCCCACAGCUAUUGUUCCUGCCAAACCACUGCGCGCACAAGUAACCGUUAAUUGGGAAAAAUAUUAAAUCAUCAGCUCUUAGAAGAAAUUUUAGUCAUAUUAUCGGUCUAGAGCCGGAUCCGGAUCCGAUCCUAAUAAGCCUGUCCUAAUAUUGCCUAAUAAGACGAUCACGACCAUUCCAUUUUAACCAAGGGCCAAGAUGCUUCCUAUUCUAACUCAAAAGCUAUUUUCUCAUCUACAGAACGGAUGCUUUGCACUACAGUUGUAUAGGCGUAGAGGUCUUUCUGUGUUUUUUUUUCAGUUGUAGUAUUGGAUUGUCCGUCUUUUGGGACUCUAGUUUUGUAGUAUUGGAUCGUCCGCGUUUUUAGACUUUAGCUUUCGUACUAGAUUAGUCAAAUAAGGGCUCUUAGAGUUUGUAUAGGAGUUAUAUCUCCCGCUUGACCAGGCGCUACUGGUCAUAUUGGCU